rnacentral:rRNA from 1 species
GAUGAACGCUGGCGGUAUGCUUAACACAUGCAAGUCGAACGGACUCUUCGGAGUUAGUGGCGGACGGGUGAGUAACGCGUGAGAAUCUGGCUUUGGGUUCGGGACAACCACUGGAAACGGUGGCUAAUACCGGAUGUGCCGAGAGGUAAAAGAGAACUUGCCUGAAGAUGAGCUCGCGUCUGAUUAGCUAGUUGGUGAGGUAAAGGCUCACCAAGGCAGCGAUCAGUAGCUGGUCUGAGAGGAUGACCAGCCACACUGGGACUGAGACACGGCCCAGACUCCUACGGGAGGCAGCAGUGGGGAAUUUUCCGAAAUGGGCGAAAGCCUGACGGAGCAAUACCGCGUGAGGGAAGAAGGCUCUUGGGUUGUAAACCUCUUUUCUUAGGGAAGAACAAAAUGACGGUACCUAAGGAAUCAGCAUCGGCUAACUCCGUG